AUUGAACGCUGGCGGCAGGCCUAACACAUGCAAGUCGAACGGUAACAGGAAGAAGCUUGCUUCUUUGCUGACGAGUGGCGGACGGGUGAGUAAUGUCUGGGAAACUGCCUGAUGGAGGGGGAUAACUACUGGAAACGGUAGCUAAUACCGCAUAACGUCGCAAGACCAAAGAGGGGGACCUUCGGGCCUCUUGCCAUCGGAUGUGCCCAGAUGGGAUUAGCUAGUAGGUGGGGUAACGGCUCACCUAGGCGACGAUCCCUAGCUGGUCUGAGAGGAUGACAGGCCACACUGGAACUGAGACACGGUCCAGACUCCUACGGGAGGCAGCAGUGGGGAAUAUUGCACAAUGGGCGCAAGCCUGAUGCAGCCAUGCCGCGUGUAUGAAGAAGGCCUUCGGGUUGUAAAGUACUUUCAGCGGGGAGGAAGGGAGUAAAGUUAAUACCUUUGCUCAUUGACGUUACCCGCAGAAGAAGCACCGGCUAACUCCGUG
rnacentral:rRNA from 1 species